GAGCCCUUUUGUUCACUUGGGAUCUGAGAAGUAUUUUUAUGUGCAUAACUUAUGUUAAUUUGUUAUGUGCAUAAAAAAAAACUUCAGUGAUUUUACAACUGAAGGAUAAUUCAGGGUGUAGCUAAAAAUAUUUGCUAGGUCAGUGUAUAUAAACCUUAGCCCUCAAAUUUAUUACUGGUGAGGUUAAGCUGUGAAAAUAUCAAAUGCUUUUUCCUAAAACCCUAAUAAUGGAAAAUUUUAAAGUAAGGUGUAGUGUGAACAGUGCAGUCUUUGGACUUGAAAAACAAGUAACAUUUUUGGCUUUAUUAUUCUUCUCUUUAAUAGAAGAGAAUAGAAUUAUAAAUUAACUAUAAGGUAUGGGAAUUUUCAGUAAUCUCCAAAUUGGUAAAUAUGGCAAAAAGAAAAUAAUUUUUCAUUUUCUUCCAGGUAGUAGAAUAUAUUCAUGAAAAUCCUCCUUGUUCUGGAAACACAAAAUCAUCUUAAAAGUGGGGUUAGCCCAAGGAGUUUUUUUAGAACUGACAACCAUAUUCUAGGAUAUAAAUAUUAAGAUUUCAUUUUUUACAAAUGACUAAUCCCAGUAUCCUUUAAGAAUACAUACUACAGCAUCAUGAUAGGCUUUUUUUUUUUUAAAUAGCAUAUGCUCAGAUUUAGAAGUGAAAAGCCCAGUCCCCAAAGGUAACUAUUCUUUAUAGAGGUAGCCUUCCAAACUUUGAGAGAGGUGCAUCUUUUUUGGCUAUUAGUUACCUGAAAUGUUGCUAUGGGAGAACUUGCCAGCUGCCAUGACCCCCUCCCAUCCCCCCACCAAUUCUAAAGGUUCUCUGCAGGUUAAAUACUGUUCUAGCAUAUAUAUACAAAAUUGUAUAUGAUAUUUGAACUAAAACACAAAAUCAAAAGGAGAGAUUACAUGGGGGGUAAAAAUGAUCAUUUCAUGAAACUUGGGAUGCCUUAGGCCUAAAACUGUUUUGCAAAAU
rnacentral:lncRNA from 1 species